GAGUGAUUUGCAGUUGAUCUCUGGCUCUUCUUAAGGCUGGGGCUCUGAGCUAUUCGUCGCUGGAAUAUUGAGUAACCCUCGUUUAUCUGGACCCGGCUGUUUUGACUCCUGGACCCCGUGAGUGUGAGUGGGUUGCUCGUGUGAGGAGUGCUUGGACAAGGAGCGGAGCAAGUGUGAAGAAGUGUGUUUCCCCGGCCUAUUGAUCCCCGGGACCCUGGUGUCAAAAUUUGUUUCAGUGCUACAACUUUACCGUCUUCCAAUUGGGAUCAAAAAGGCCAAGACGAGCUGCUUUUCAUGAAUAACUUGAUGAAACCUGAUACGUCACAUUGUUUGUUGUUGUUCUAAUUUGGCAUUGAACUUGGCAUCCUCCUGCAUGUCUGUGACUCACUGUUUGACACUAAACUAUCACGUUUCCAAAACAGCAGUGACUCUCCACAUGGCCGAUGAAAUAUUCAAUGAUGCUUGGGUUUCAGUUCUUCUCCGGCCUGAAUCCAGCAGCUUUCUCUCUGGCGUCCCGUGAGGCAGUGGCCACAAGAGCAUCAGCGUCCUCCGCAGUUUGGCCCUCGUCAGUCAGAAGCGGUCCCCUGAGAUCCAUUUAUAACCCCAACCCAGGACUCGCAGGGCAGCACAUAUUCUCCUGCACUUCUCUGCAAGUGUUAAAAGAGGGGUUCUUAAAAAUGGUGCAGCCAUGUAUGCCGGCUCAGAGCUUUAAAUGAGCUUUCAUCGAGAUGGGGGUCGACUUUUCUCUCCUUACAUCCAAAAGCACUCAGAACCAAGGCCAGCCACCUGCUGACAGGUCAGCUAUCCUCGAGGAUUUCUCCUGUGGUGAUGUGUGGCAUUCAGUGGAGAGCACCGAUCCACUGCCGGAGGUUGUGUAUCACAAACGACGAGAUUAUAAAUCAUAAGAUUAAAAAAAAAAGUUUAAAAACUGGUUUUCAGCAAUUUGAAAAAGAUUUGAAAAUAAGAUCAAAACUGGUGAAAACUAGAUGUGACAAAUUCAAAAUAAUGAUAUUCUUACAUAGACUGUAUAUAAAAGAUGGUUUUGGACUCCACAUUCUGAAUGGCCGUUGCCGUGUUGUUGAGUUUCAAAAUUAUUGACCAAAAUGUGUAAAAUUGCAAACAGUAAUAAUAGUACAGGUGUAUAUUCUGUAUACAUUUAUUCUCAAGGAAUUCCCAAAUUUUAUUUAUGAGUUUGAACUUAUUAAAUGAAGCUUAUGCGUAAGUUCAAUAAGGAAAAUCGAUGGUCUCCUAGGUGUUGCUGGCUGAAUCCAAGCUUCACAUCGC